GGGUCUGGCUCAAAUGGUAGAGUGCCUGCCUAGUAAGCAAGAGGCCCUGAGUUCAAACCUCAGUAGGGCCA
rnacentral:tRNA from 1 species